UACGUAGGGUGCAAGCGUUGUCCGGAAUUAUUGGGCGUAAAGAGCUCGUAGGCGGCUUGUCGCGUCGGCUGUGAAAACCUGGGGCUCAACCCCGGGCCUGCAGCCGAUACGGGCAAGCUAGAAUUCGGUAGGGGAGACUGGAAUUCCUGGUGUAGCGGUGAAAUGCGCAGAUAUCAGGAGGAACACCGGUGGUGUAGACGGCUCUCUGGACCGUAACUGACGCUGAGACACGAAAGCGUGGGGAGCAAACAGG
rnacentral:rRNA from 1 species